rnacentral:piRNA from 1 species
GCAGGACGAGCCGCAGACAAAACUCCUGAC